UACGUAGGGUGCAAGCGUUAAUCGGAAUUACUGGGCGUAAAGCGUGCGCAGGCGGCUUUGCAAGACAGAUGUGAAAUCCCCGGGCUCAACCUGGGAACUGCAUUUGUGACUGCAAGGCUAGAGUACGAUAGAGGGGGAUGGAAUUCCGCGUGUAGCAGUGAAAUUCGUAGAUAUUCGCAAGAACACCAGUGGCGAAGGCG
rnacentral:rRNA from 1 species